GACGAACGCUGGCGGCGUGCUUAACACAUGCAAGUCGAACGGAAAGGCCCUGCUUUUGUGGGGUGCUCGAGUGGCGAACGGGUGAGUAACACGUGAGUAACCUGCCCUUGACUUUGGGAUAACUUCAGGAAACUGGGGCUAAUACCGGAUAGGAGCUCCUGCUGCAUGGUGGGGGUUGGAAAGUUUCGGCGGUUGGGGAUGGACUCGCGGCUUAUCAGCUUGUUGGUGGGGUAGUGGCUUACCAAGGCUUUGACGGGUAGCCGGCCUGAGAGGGUGACCGGCCACAUGGGGACUGAGAUACGGCCCAGCCUCCUACGGGAGGCAGCAGGGGGGAAUAUGGCACAAUGGGCGGAAGCCUGAUGCAGAAACGCCGCGUGCGGGAUGACGGCCUUCGGGUUGUAAACCGCUUUCGCCUGUGACGAAGCGGGAGUGACGGUAAUGGGUAAAGAAGCACCGGCUAACUACGUG
rnacentral:rRNA from 1 species